rnacentral:rRNA from 1 species
UACGUAGGGGGCAAGCGUUAUCCGGAUUUACUGGGUGUAAAGGGAGCGUAGGCGGCAAGGCAAGUCUGAUGUGAAAACCCGGGGCUCAACCCCGGGACUGCAUUGGAAACUGCUUAGCUAGAGUGUCGGAGAGGUAAGUGGAAUUCCUAGUGUAGCGGUGAAAUGCGUAGAUAUUAGGAGGAACACCAGUGGCGAAGGCGACUUACUGGACGAUAACUGACGCUGAGGCUCGAAAGCGUGGGGAGCAAACAGGAUUAGAUACCCUGGUAGUCCACGCUGUAAACGAUGAAUACUAGGUGUCGGGUGGCAAAGCCAUUCGGUGCCGCAGCUAACGCAAUAAGUAUUCCACCUGGGGAGUACGUUCGCAAGAAUGAA